UACGUAGGCAGCGAGCGUUGUUCGGAGUUACUGGGCGUAAAGGGUGUGUAGGCGGUUCGGUAAGUCGGGUGUUAAACCCCCAGCUCAACCUGGGGACGCCACUCGAUACUGCUGUGACUAGAGUCCGGUAGGGGAGCGUGGAAUUCCUGGUGUAGCGGUGAAAUGCGCAGAUAUCAGGAGGAACACCAGCGGCGAAGGCGGCGCUCUGGGCCGGUACUGACACUGAGGAGCGAAAGCAUGGGGAGCGAACAGG
rnacentral:rRNA from 1 species